GGUCUGGUAGCAUAGUGGUUAUGUAUCUGCUAUAAUUAUGAAGAGUGGGAUAUCCUGCGGACGAUGUGGGUUCGAAUCCCACCUGGGCCU